GAUGAACGCUGGCGGCGUGCCUAAUACAUGCAAGUCGAACGCUUCACUUCGGUGAAGAGUGGCGCACGGGUGAGUAAUACAUAAGUAACCUGGCAUCUACAGGGGGAUAACUGAUGGAAACGUCAGCUAAGACCGCAUAGGUGUAGAGAUCGCAUGAACUCUAUAUGAAAAGUGCUACGGGACUGGUAGAUGAUGGACUUAUGGCGCAUUAGCUUGUUGGUAGGGUAACGGCCUACCAAGGCGACGAUGCGUAGCCGACCUGAGAGGGUGACCGGCCACACGGGGACUGAGACACGGCCCAGACUCCUACGGGAGGCAGCAGUAGGGAAUUUUCGGCAAUGGGGGAAACCCUGACCGAGCAACGCCGCGUGAAGGAAGAAGUAAUUCGUUAUGUAAACUUCUGUCAUAGAGGAAGAACGGUGGAUAUAGGGAAUGAUAUCCAAGUGACGGUACUCUAUAAGAAAGCCACGGCUAACUACGUG
rnacentral:rRNA from 1 species